CUCAGAUGUAAAAGCGCAGCAGUGUGUGUGUGUUUUCCUGGUGUGAUCAUUAAUAGAAAACAAGUGUGUCAGCAGCAGCCGGACCACAAUUUCUCCAUCGCGAUCAUCUUUGAUUUGACUUAAUUGGAUUAUGUCAACACGCUGGCGGAUCGUUUUUUUUAUGGUAUGUUUAUGCAACAGCAGCCUUGUAAAAACAAUGUUGUCAUGUAAACAAAUGUUCAAAAUAAUUCACAUUAGACAAACAAUGUACAGAAAAUAACAGUAACAGUAUAACAGAAUAUGUAUGUGCGUGAAUGAGAGGGGCGGAGGGGGAACAGUGAAGCUCCAGGGAGAAGAGAUAGCGAAGGUGGACGACUUUAUAUUCUUGGAGUCAACAAUACAGAGCAAUGGAGAGUGUGGUAAGGAAGUGAAGAAACGGGUCCAAGCGGGUUGGUAUAGUUGGCGGAAGGUUUCUAGUGUUCUAUGUGACAGAAGAGUAUCCGCCAGGAUGAAGGGCAACGUUUAUGAAACAGCGUGAGGCUUGCCAAUGAUCUACGGAUUAGAGACGAGGUGUGCGGGUGCCCGCGCGGGUGCGCUGAUUGGGAGGUGCACACCUGCGCCUCAUGCAGCCUGAUUAUGCUGUGGAUUUAUAUGACCGCGAUGACAACUGGCCGGGGCCAGUUCGUUUGAUCUUCAUGUCCCGUUCGUGUGCUCCGGUAUCCCUGAUCGAACCUGUGUGUACCGACCUUCGCCCGUUCUCCGACCACCCUUCUGGAGAAAACUCAAACAAAGGGGAGGAUAUACAAACGCAACACAGGCAGUCUAAACCAGAAUCUCUGAAAUGUGAGGCAGACGUGCUAACCACUUUCCAAUGUGCCCACAACUAAAGAACCAGUACGGAGCUGCUGCACGAUCCAGAGCAACUGCGCCGCCAUUUGAUGACCUCAUUACUGUGCUUCUAGUUCGCCUUCCUCUUCUGAACUGGCGCCGCCGUCAUUCUGAUGAGACUGCGGCACUUACCUUUAUUAAUGGCGGCCCGCCCUCUCUCCCGCAACCCCUGUGCUAAUAAAAGUUAACGCGGUCGAGAUGAGCGGCCCGCUACGUUUGCAUACGACACACAAGUGUCGGUCAUAUUUCUCGUGAGUCCAAACAAAAUCAGUAAGUUGUCCUUGUCCAGACGCAGCCCAUAUUAACGUGUCAGAGGAUCUGAUUUAUGGCUUGUCUGUCCUGGGCUCGAGCUAAAUGACGAUACGAGUUGUAGCUUCACUUCUCCCCCAAACGCCCUUCUCACCGGGAAAAACUAAAAGGAUGAGCAGAUCGUCGUGAUUGACAAGAUAUGGCGGGAGAUGACGGAGGAUAGUACGCUACUUUGUUGGUGUGGGUAAGCAAAAGCAAAGCUUACUUAGCAUGAUUAUAAAAAAAACACACUAAGGUAAUAUGAGUCUGUAAAAAUAACACAGUCAACUUGCAUCAUUGCACAAUAAAACUACAUUUAGAUAUGUACAUUAGUUUGUUUACAUGACUAGACAAAGUUUUCUUACCCAGACUUAUUACACGACAAACUUGUUUACGUGUUAGUUAUUUAAUUAGCACGAAGACGCAAAACACGGCUCAGGAUGAUUAAG